GGGUUGGCUGCACUUGGACAGCAACUUCAUGCUAUAGGAUUUACAGACACCCCAAAGGUAGACCUUGAUGCACCACUGGCUGAUGAAUUGAUGAGAUUUUAUGAAAGGAUGGGUGACACUCUAGCCCAUCAAUAUGGUGGGUCAGCUGCACAUAACAAGAUAUUCUCUCAGAGAAGGGGUCAGUGGAAAGCAGCAACCCAGUCCCAGGAGUUCUUCAGAACUCUUCAACGCUACUACAACAAUGCAUACAUGGAUGCAGAGAAACAAGAUGCAAUUAAUGUAUUCUUGGGGCACUUCCAGCCACAACUGGGUAAACCUGCACUCUGGGAAUUAAAUUCAGACCAGCAUUACAGUGUAGGAAGGAAUGGGCAAACAUAUGUGGAUCAAGAUAGAAGGUCAUUUUUCAAAAGAUCCUUGUCAGAUGGAAAUAUUCUUCAUGAAAGCCAUUCACCUAUGUCAGCCACGAAUGUCAAGCAGGAGAAAUUUGCUAAUUCGGUUUUGCCAGAUCAAUGGGAAGGGGAAAAAAAUGUCCUUUCUGAGUCAUCCCCUGCGAUAUCAACUUGUGAAAUUGACAUAUCAUAUUCAAGGUAUACUCCUUCAAUGCCUCGAAGACAACUCUUAGGGGAUGUGGAAAGAGAGCAGUACCUUGGAAGUGAACAUAUUUACUUCUCUGAAGACACAUUUAUUUGCUCAAAUUUUGUUGAUUUAGGCUGGUUGUCUUCCUCGGGAAAUUCAUGCGAAGAAGAGCCAUUUGAGAGGUCAUCAGUGCUUACAAUCUCACCAAUUGCGGGGAUGUCAUCAGAAAAUGUUGUCAAUGGAAUAAUGAGUGAAAUGACCCCAUCCACUAGUGAAUAUGGAUCCAGCAUGAAGGGAAGGCAGCAGACGGGAACGGUGCUAUCCUAUGGUAGUUCUCAGAAUUCCAAUGUCCUCGAGGAAUUCUCAGAUAGCUUUGUGCACUGGGUAAACAAUGGAGAGACACUCUGCCAUUGAAGUUUAGCUCGCUUUGGCCCUGAAUCAAUAUUUAUUCCUUUCCCCAAGUGACCCGACCUGCUCUAAAGAUGCUGAAUCUAUUGAUGUAGAGAGAGGUGACAAGGACAGUGAGACCAAGGGGAGAUGGCCGGACCAGAGGGAGAAAAGAGAGGCAGGUGUUUUGGC
rnacentral:misc_RNA from 1 species